GACGAACGCUGGCGGCGUGCCUAAUACAUGCAAGUCGAACGCUUCUUUCCUCCCGAGUGCUUGCACUCAAUUGGAAAGAGGAGUGGCGGACGGGUGAGUAACACGUGGGUAACCUACCCAUCAGAGGGGGAUGACACUUGGAAACAGGUGCUAAUACCGCAUAACAGUUUAUGCCGCAUGGCAUAAGAGUGAAAGGCGCUUUCGGGUGUCGCUGAUGGAUGGACCCGCGGUGCAUUAGCUAGUUGGUGAGGUAACGGCUCACCAAGGCCACGAUGCAUAGCCGACCAGAGAGGGUGAUCGGCCACACUGGGACUGAGACACGGCCCAGACUCCUACGGGAGGCAGCAGUAGGGAAUCUUCGGCAAUGGACGAAAGUCUGACCGAGCAACGCCGCGUGAGUGAAGAAGGUUUUCGGAUCGUAAAACUCUGUUGUUAGAGAAGAACAAGGACGUUAGUAACUGAACGUCCCCUGACGGUAUCUAACCAGAAAGCCACGGCUAACUACGUG
rnacentral:rRNA from 1 species